rnacentral:rRNA from 1 species
UACAGAGGGUGCGAGCGUUAAUCGGAAUUACUGGGCGUAAAGCGCGCGUAGGCGGCUUUGCAAGUCGGGCGUGAAAUCCCCAGGCUUAACCUGGGAACUGCAUUCGAGACUGCAUUGCUAGAGUAUGGGAGAGGGAAGUGGAAUUCCCGGUGUAGCGGUGAAAUGCGUAGAUAUCGGAAGGAACAUCAGUGGCGAAAGCGACUUUCUGGACCAAUACUGACGCUCAUGUGCGAAAGCGUGGGGAGCAAACAGG